GACUGAGCGGCGAACGGGUGAGUAACGCGUGAGCAACCUACCUUAGUUACUGGGAUAGCCCGAGGAAACUCGGAUUAAUACCGGAUAUUCUUAUUUAAUCACAUGAUUUUUUAAGGAAAGGUCAGCCGAACUAAGAUGGGCUCGCGUUCUAUCAGCUAGUUGGUGAGGUAAGGGCUCACCAAGGCGACGAUCCCUAGCUGGUCUGAGAGGAUGAUCAGCCACACUGGAACUGAGACACGGUCCAGACUCCUACGGGAGGCAGCAGUGGGGAAUAUUGCACAAUGGGCGCAAGCCUGAUGCAGCCAUGCCGCGUGUGUGAAGAAGGCCUUCGGGUUGUAAAGCACUUUCAGUCGUGAGGAAGGUAGUGUAGUUAAUAGCUGCAUUAUUUGACGUUAGCGACAGAAGAAGCACCGGCUAACUCCGUGCCAGCAGCCGCGGUAAUACGGAGGGUGCGAGCGUUAAUCGGAAUUACUGGGCGUAAAGCGCAUGCAGGUGGUUUGUUAAGUCAGAUGUGAAAGCCCGGGGCUCAACCUCGGAACUGCCUUUGAUACUGCUAGUCUUGAGUUCGAGAGAGGUAAGUGGAAUUCCGAGUGUAGAGGUGAAAUUCGUAGAUAUUCGGAGGAACACCAGUGGCGAAGGCGGCUUACUGGCUCGAUACUGACGCUGAGGUGCGAAAGUGUGGGGAGCAAACAAGAUUAGAUACCCUGGUAGUCCACACCGUAAACGAUGAAUGCCAGUCGUCGGGUAGCAUGCUAUUCGGUGACA
rnacentral:rRNA from 1 species